CCUACGGGUGGCAGCAGUGGGGAAUAUUGCACAAUGGGGGGAACCCUGAUGCAGCAAUGCCGCGUGGGUGAAGAAGCACUCCGGUGCGUAAAGCCCUGUCAGCAGGGAAGAAAAUGACAGUACCUGACCAAGAAGCCCCGGCUAACUACGUGCCAGCAGCCGCGGUAAUACGUAGGGGGCCAGCGUUAUCCGGAUUUACUGGGUGGAAAGGGAGCGCAGGCGGUUUGGCAAGGCAGAUUUGAAAACCCAGGGUCCAACCCCGGGACCGCCUUUGAAACUGCCAUACGGGAGUGGCGGAGAGGUAAGUGGAAUUUCCUGUGUAGCGGUGAAAUGCGUAGAUAUUAGGAGGAACACCAGUGGCGAAGGCGGCUUACUGGACGGUAACUGACGCUGAGGCUCGAAAGCGUGGGGAGCAAACAGGAUUAGAUACCCUGGUAGUC
rnacentral:rRNA from 1 species